rnacentral:rRNA from 1 species
UUCCGGUUGAUCCCGCCGGAGGCUACCGCUAUUGGAGUUCGAUUAAGCCAUGCGAGUCGCGAGUCUUAGGGACUCGGCGUACCGCUCAGUAACACGUGGGUAACCUGCCCUAUGCUGGGGGAUAACCUCGGGAAACUGAGAAUAAUACCCCAUAGUUCACCACGCCUGGAACGGUGGGUGGACCAAAGCUCCGGCGGCAUAGGAUGGGCCUGCGGCGUAUCAGGUUGUAGGGGGUGUAAUGUACCCUCUAGCCCUCUACGCGUACGGGUGUUGAGAGACAUCGCCCGGAGAUGGAUUCUGAGACACGAAUCCAGACCCUACGGGGUGCAGCAGGCGCGAAAACUUGGCAAUGCGAGAAAUCGUGACCAGGGAACUCCAAGUGCAUCGGGUAAGACCGAUGCUUUUCUUGACUCUUCAAAGGUCUUGGAAUAAGGGGUGGGUAAGGACGGUGCCAGCCGCCGCGGUAAUACCGGCGCCCCAAGUGGUAGUCGCUUUUAUUGGGCCUAAAACGUCCGUAGCCGGUCUGGUACAUUCGUGGGUAAAUCAACCAGCUCAACUGGUUGAAUUCUGCGAGCACGGCCAGACUUGGGACCGGGAGAGGUGUGGGGUACUCUCAGGGUAGGGGUAAAAUCCUGUCAUCCUGAGAGGACCACCUGUUGCGAAGGCGCCACACUAGAACGGAUCCGACGGUCAGGGACGAAGCCUAGGGGCACGAACCGGAUUAGAUACCCGGGUAGUCCUAGGUGUAAACGCUGUGGACUUGAUGUUGGGGGCGCUCCGAGCGCACUCAGUGUCGAAGCGAAGGUGAUAAGUCCACUGCCUGGGGAGUACGGUCGCAAGGCUGAAACUUAAAGGAAUUGGCGGGGGAGCACCGCAACCUGAGGAUUGUGCGGUUUAAUUGGAGUCAACGCCGG